rnacentral:rRNA from 1 species
GACGAACGCUGGCGGCGUGCUUAACACAUGCAAGUCGAACGGAAAGGCCCUGCUUUUGUGGGGUGCUCGAGUGGCGAACGGGUGAGUAACACGUGAGUAACCUGCCCUUGACUUUGGGAUAACUUCAGGAAACUGGGGCUAAUACCGGAUAGGAGCUCCUGCUGCAUGGUGGGGGUUGGAAAGAUUCGGCGGUAGGGGAUGGACUCGCGGCUUAUCAGCGUGUUGGUGGGGUAGUGGCUUACCAAGGCUUUGCCGGGUAGCCGGCCUGAGAGGGUGACCGGCCACAUUGGGACUGAGAUAGGGAGCAGACUCCUACGGGAGGCAACAGUGGGGAAUAUUGCACAGUGGGGGGAAGCCUGAGGCAGCAGCGCCCCGUGCGGGAUGACGGCCUGCGAGUUGUAAACCGCUUUCGCCUGUGACGAAGGGUGAGUGACGGUAAUGGGUAAAGAAGCACCGGCUAACUACGUG